rnacentral:rRNA from 1 species
GCAGAGCCGCGGGAAUACGUAGGUGGCAAGCGUUGUCCGGAAUUAUUGGGCGUAAAGCGCGCGCAGGCGGAUCAGUCAGUCUGUCUUAAAAGUUCGGGGCUUAACCCGUGAGGGGAUGGAAACUGCUGAUCUAGAGUAUCGGAGAGGAAAGUGGAAUUCCUAGUGUAGCGGUGAAAUGCGUAGAUAUUAGGAGGAACACCAGUGGCGAAGGCGGCUUUUUGGCCUGUAACUGACACUGAGGCGCGAAAGCGUGGGGAGCAAACAGGAUUAGAUACCCGUGUAGUCCCUGUCUCUUAUACACA